rnacentral:rRNA from 1 species
CCUACGGGUGGCUGCAGUGAGGAAUAUUGGUCAAUGGAGGCAACUCUGAACCAGCCAUGCCGCGUGAAGGAUGAAGGUCCUCUGGAUUGUAAACUUCUUUUAUAAAAGAAGAAACCCCAGUAUUCUUACUGGGUUGACGGUACUUUAUGAAUAAGCACCGGCUAACUCCGUGCCAGCAGCCGCGGUAAUACGGAGGGUGCAGGCGUUAUCCGGAUUCACUGGGUUUAAGGGGAGCGUGUAUGGCAGGGGUGAAAUCCCCGAGCUUAACUUGGGAACUGCCAUUGAUACUAUCAAUCUUGAAUUCUGUGGAGGUAAGCGGAAUAUAUCAUGUAGCGGUGAAAUGCUUAGAUAUGAUAUAGAACACCAAUAGCGAAGGCAGCUUACUACGCAGAUAUUGACACUGAGGCUCGAAAGCGUGGGGAUCAAACAGGAUUAGAUACCCCGGUAGUC